UACGUAGGGGGCAAGCGUUAUCCGGAUUUAUUGGGCGUAAAGUGUGCGUAGGCUCCUUUAAAAGUCGCGUCUUAAAUACUAAGGCUUAACCUUAGGCAUGGAUGCGAUACUAUAAGGGUUGAGGAUUGACAGGGAUGCUGGAACAGCUAGAGUAGCAGUGAAAUGCGUUGAUAUUAGCUGGAACACCAAAGGCGAAGGCAAGCAUCUAGGUUUUUCCCUGACGCUGAGGCACGAAAGCUAGGGUAGCGAAACAG
rnacentral:rRNA from 1 species